AUUGAACGCUGGCGGCAUGCCUUACACAUGCAAGUCGAACGGCAGCACGGGUGCUUGCACCUGGUGGCGAGUGGCGAACGGGUGAGUAAUACAUCGGAACAUGUCCUGUAGUGGGGGAUAGCCCGGCGAAAGCCGGAUUAAUACCGCAUACGAUCUACGGAUGAAAGCGGGGGACCUUCGGGCCUCGCGCUAUAGGGUUGGCCGAUGGCUGAUUAGCUAGUUGGUGGGGUAAAGGCCUACCAAGGCGACGAUCAGUAGCUGGUCUGAGAGGACGACCAGCCACACUGGGACUGAGACACGGCCCAGACUCCUACGGGAGGCAGCAGUGGGGAAUUUUGGACAACGGGCGAAAGCCUGAUCCAGCAAUGCCGCGUGUGUGAAGAAGGCCUUCGGGUUGUAAAGCACCUUUGUCCGGAAAGAAAUCCUUGGCCCUAAUACGGUCGGGGGAUGACGGUACCGGAAGAAUAAGCACCGGCUAACUACGUG
rnacentral:rRNA from 1 species